UUUCAGUUUAGUUGCGUACUGAUAAUCAACAAAAUUACUUCUAUAUAUUAAAGAAAUUUUUUGAAAAAACAAUUUAAAAAGAAGUCAUGAAAAAAAUUUUUAAUUUUAAUAACAUAGAUUCGUUCAAACUUUUCUGAUUAUGAAUUUGAAGAUUAUCGAAGAAUAGCUAUUAAACCGAUUCAUGUUUUAUUUAAAUCUCACGGGACUCACGUGGUUAGCUUAAUCAAUGCACAAUGGUUCGGCAUCGACAGAAGAAAAGACUAUGUAAUAGGGAUUGUAUCCUAAUAAAAGAUGCAUUAUUCGCUACGUAAGUUGCUUUAAAUCAGUAAAAUGGACCCGCAUGAGAAAAUCAUGUAUGUGUAGAUUCAAGCAGAGGCGACGAUUAUCACAAAAUAACCAAACUAUUUCGAAGUAUAAGCUAAUGAUUUUAUAGGAGCUUUUUGUGAUAUAGGGGUAUAUCGCGUGUGUACAUAUUUCAUCAAUAAACUAUCUUUUUCUUUCUUUCAUUAAAUUAUAUCUAUGACUAAUGUUUAAUCAUCAAUUUACACAGUGUACCUAUUCAGGGUCCUUCGAUCAAUUAUUAAUUGUUGACUAACGAUACGAUUUUUUAAGUUAAACUAAAUAAUUAAAUAUUUCUUAAUAGAGAUAACACAUUGUUGAAAACAAUCAAAAAAAUUUAUUAUCUAUGAUUCACACUGUGAGCAAUAUUUACAUUGAUAUUUAUACUGACUAUUUAUACUGAUAAAUCUAUUUAAAAUAUUUCAAAUAUAUUUUGCACAAAUGAUAAUAUUUAAUAAUAAAAUAAUAAAUAUGAUAUAAAUAUGACAUAAUAAAUAUCGUAUUAUACAUACAUAGUGUUUUGUAAAAAAAUAUUACGAUUAUUUAUUUUUUUAGGUAAAAAAAAAAGAAAGAACUAUGAAGAUAUUUCGAUUUGUGACUGUAACAACAAACGGAAAAAAGACACAUUUGUUGUUAUGUUUGCAAAUUAAGCUAUCUUCUCGAUAGAUGUCUCACAAUACGUGAAAAUAAAUUUAAUAAAUGUUCUAUAUAUAUCUUUUAUAGACAAUGAUGCAUUUCGACUUAAAUUUUGAUGAUAAACUUUAAAAAUCGAUACAAAACAAGAUAAGAAAAAUCGUCUGACUAAUGAUUAUAGAAAAUUUGAACUUUAGUCGCAUUUAGAUAUAUAUAUAUUUGGACUUGCAUUUCGUACAACGCAGUCAACAGGCAAUUGUCGAAAGCAGAAGUGGAGAAAAGUUACCAUCAAGUUAUCUUAAUUUGUUAAUCUAUCUGUUAAGUAGUAGUGUCAUAGAUGAUGAUUUAAAAAUUCAUCUUGGCACGAUUACUUUUCAUAUAGAAAUAUUAUAACUACAAUAUAUCAUUACCUGAUCAAGAUGAAUUUCAAUUAAUAUUAAUAUUUCAAAAAUUCAUAAAUUUCAAAUAAUAAAUUUUAUAUUAUAUUUAUUACUUACAAAAUUGAACUGAUAUUUAAAAAUGAUCUUGAAAAAAUUAAGUUUUGUGAUAAUUCUUAUAAUUCCAAGUUUAAAUUUUUUUAUUUAUAGUUCACAAAAAAGACAACUAACAAUGGCGCGGAAAUCUCACCUCCAAAAAUAUACUCACUGAACCGGAAAAGAAUUUCUCGACCAAUCAACAUCGCGAAUCGUUUCAUCCUUUAUAUCCGCGAUUCUCAACUGAUACUACGAGUAUCAAGUCAAAAUUUAUUGAAAAAUAUAUAUUCAUCUAAUUUUAUAAAUAAAUAGAAAAUAAAUUAUUUUUGUAUUUUCAAAUAUAUAUUUAUUUAUAUUUUUAAUUAUUAAAUAUUAUUAUUAAAUAAAUUAUUAUUAUAUUUAUCAUAUUACGUCUUCUUUUAAUAAUUAAUAAUUCUUUUAAUAAUUAUUCAAAAUGUAAUUUUUAUUAAUUACAAAUUAUAAUUAAUAAAAGUAAUAAUUAAUAAUAAGUAAAUUAUAAUUAAUAAAAAUUUAAUUGACUUAUUAUUAUCUUAAUAACUUAUUAUCUUAAAUUCGAAAAAAGAUUUUUCUCAUGAAUUUUUAAAUUUAAUAUUGAUCAUUGUUUUUACCUUAUAUUUUUAUAUAUUUCCGCACUAAAUUUAAAUUUCCAUUUGCUAAUAAUUCUGUUUCAAAUCGGAUAGUAAGUGAAGGUUGAAAAACACUGUCAUAGAGAGAAUCUAUCUAGCGGAUAGUUGUGUCGUCAGCCGCGCGAUUCAAAUCGUGCGCCAAGGCAAGGCAAUAAGGAUUUGGUGAGCCGGUGAAUGGUUUGAUAACAAGCAGUGGAAGGAAGGCACAGGGGAGACGCACAUUGCCCGUCGGUUGGUGGACCAUUCAGUGACGCGAUUCUUCACUGUCCGGCACUGAUUUCAAUUGGUAAAUUGAUUUGGAACGAUGGCAAGAGAGAAAAAAGAGAGAAAGACUGAGUUAGACGGGAGAGGUUCGGAGACCAGUAUGUAGGAGAUGAUAAAGAAAGAACCAUAUACCAUUACCGUGACUGGGUGUACCGUCACAGAAAACCAUAGCGGUGGCAGUGGCAGUGCCUCUCUUGCGAACCGUUAAUAGGUACUGAACGCUGGUUGAAUGCUUAAUGCACCGUGCUUCUAGGAUUAAAUUGACCAAUCAUUUCCCGCGCGGCAAGGAGCGGCCAAUUACAGCGCUCGUCCGACUAUAUUAAGCCAAUCAAGAACAGUUUAUCGCUCAGUCGUCAGUCUGCAGUUGUGAUGCGUGUGUCGUGCGCGUGUUUUUUUUUUCCCUUUCCAAACAAUUCUAACUCGUGAAAUAAAUGAAUCGCGUGAGAAAAAUAUGAACAUUUGUCAUGAAUUACUCGAGACCGUUUAUCAAUUUUAAUAAUCGUUCAGUGAAUUAGAUCACAUUCUUCCAUUUAUUCUCUAUGGCGUGGCGGAUUUUAGAGAAUGUUUGAAAUUCUGAUCAAAUCGAACGAAUCACAGUUUCUUUAUAGAAAGAAUUUUUUUAUUAUUGAUAUAAUUAUUCGACGAACAUGUGGGAAAGAAUUGUGCAAGAGCGCAAGAAAAGCACGUGAAAAAGCAUAAAACAGCAUGCAUUAUUUUACUUUAUGUAUAUACAUUCCAUUCAUAUUCAUUUCUGGUGACGGUUCGUAUUUCGAUCCUUGGAGAUCGUUUCUUGUGAUUACCGUGCAUUUCUCUCUUCAUCAACUAUUUAUUAAUCAGUUGAACUUUGAAUAGUUUAAUAUUUUUUCGGAAUCUAUUUGAAAUGAGAGUGUGGUGUUACUAUAAGAUUUUUAAAAUAUUCCAACGUUAUUCCAACGAAGAUCAUAAUAAACAUCAGAUGAUUGGAGACUAUAACAUUAAUAAGUGUGAAAGAAUAUCAAUGGACGCUAGUGUCAAAUAGAAGUUAAAGGUCAUGAGAUUUCCUUCAAUUGUUCAAUCAAAUUAGAUGAUUUCUUUAAUCAAAUUGCAUAUACAUUUUUUUAAAAAUUUAAAAAUAAGAGUGCCAUAAUUUUUAAUUUUAUUAUUAAAAAGAAUCACUGAUUAUAAUUUAUUAUAUAUUUAUAGUUUUCUUAUUUAUAUUGAUAUCUUUGUAUAAAUUAUUAAAUAACACCAAUCAAAUAAUUUAGCAAAAAAUUUUCCAGUAGUUAUUAUAAUUCGAUUGCGCAUAUGCAUUAGAUAUAUAUAUAUAUACACAUAAAAAUAAAGUUUCUCAUAUAUAUAUAUAUAUAUGAGAAACUUUAUUCUUAUUUUCCUCAUAAAUAUAAUGAUCAUGCAAACAAGAUUAAUUCUUAACCACUAAAGUCGCAUCCGAUAAGCACUGCAUUAAUAUGUUCUACAAGAAACGCUCUCUAAUCUAAUAAAAAUUCAUUUACAUACUUGAUUGAUCAAUUUAUCUUUUUUUGAUUGUUUAAUAAAAUGGAAAUUCAGAUGUGCGAUUUUUAUAAUCUUUUUUCCUUUUUUAUAUUUUAUAAAUUAGACUUUUCCUCGAGAAUAUUUUCCGUGCUCGGCUUACAACAUCUGAAAAACGAGAUCACAUGUGACCACACAUAUAAUAACCUCGCAAAGUAUCGUUUUAACCUGACACUUGAUGAAAUACAUAUAGAAGUCUCGAGAAGAAGCAAAAAGAAAGAGAAAACUAAUAUAAAAUCCCUCGCGAAAUCACGCAAAUGAUAAAAGACCAAAUGUUCACGAUUUUCUCAUUGAGAAAUAAGAGAAUUGAAUCUGUGUUCGAAAUGUGAUGAUUUCUACGGGAUGAAACAUUGUAAUUGGAAACAUUUUCUUAAGUUGUAAUGGCACGCAUUGCGUGGCUAAGCUUUAUCGUCACGACUUCUUGACCCCUCUUAAAUGAUAGUAUAAAGUACGAAAGAACACAAGUUGAAGAAAAUCAUUAAGUUCCUAGAAUCUAAAUAUCGACGAAAGUAAACUUAUGUAAAAAUUAUAAAAGUAGAGGUAGAAUAAAAUUUUUGUUUAAUUUCUUUCUAUAUUAUUGCAAUAUUUUGUUUGAAAAUGACGCAAUAUUUGUGUAUCAAAAGUUAUAGUCCUACAAGCAGUUACGGAAAAAUCGUAAAGUACCUCUUCGUUUUGAACGCACUGUUCUUAAAAUAGAACAUUUUCGGUUGCAGAACCGAAACAGAGACCACGAGUCUCGCUUCGCGAAUUUUUAUAGAGAAUCACAGUAAUGAUAUUGAUUUUUUCAGAUAUUAUUUUUAAUGCAAAUCAGAAUUGCAUUUUUUUCAGUUAAAGAAUAAAUAUUUUUUCUGUUUUGCUUCUCGAAAUUCCUUUCUGCUUAUUCUUUCAUCUAUCCAUAAUUUGCACAUCGUAACCUAAUAAGUUGACGAGCUAUUUCACAAAUACUCAGAGAGAGCCGACAUUAACAGAAAUUAACGUUAAUUGAUGAUACUCUUCUUUCCCCUUUACUCUUCCUGUUCUUCUAUUGCCCUUUCUAUUCCAGUUGAUCUUACAAACUCUUUUCUUUUUCUGUGAAUCUCGAUUUGUUUAAUAGAUCCUUUUGUCAUUUCUGCAUAAUCAUAUUAUAUAUUAUUAUUUUUGCUUGCCAUAUUCUUGUUCCAGCAAUUAUCUCUGUUCUUCUCCCAUAACAUAUUUUCUCAUUUCGCGCAUCUGAACUGACGAGUCAAACGUCGAAAAAACAAAAAAUAAAAACUACAUACGCACAUUAUGUGUACAAGAUGCGUAACAGAAGACAGCCACGCGUCCAGCUGAAUCUGCAAUGGCCACAUCAAAUAAUCCUCUUUAACUUAUGACGACUUUGCAUUUUUAACACUGUACUUUACAGUAAAUCUUAUGCAUACUCUUUUCGUCUUAUUCUUGUAAGUAUGAAAUAAUCUGCAGAAAGACGGACUAUUGUUAGGGUCAUUUUUCUAAACUUCGAUAACGUGCUGAUAUCUGUUCGAAGUUCCAGAGAAAUUCCAUGGAAAAAAUCAUGUUACUAACCUUAACUCAUAUCAUGAAGGCAAACGAUGAAUACGGUGUUUGAUGAAACGAGAAACGUUAAGUAGGAACGUGGAGCAAAGAAAUCAAAGAUUCGAUUGUAGACUCUCCCUCUAUCGUGCAUACACGCAUUUCCGUACGCGAUACUGUAUACUUAUAAUAUUAUAAUAUUUGAAUUAUCAAUUCUUCAUUUCUUUGCUUCUUAUUUCUAAUCUUAUUUAAAUUUCGAUUUUAAUUCCAAUUUUCAAUUAUAUAUAUUUCUUGAAAUAUUUCUGUGAUUGAAUAAUGAUUAGAUAUUUUAAAAAAUUUUUAUAUAUUAUUUUUUUUCUAUUUUUUCUAUUUCUAUUUUAUAUUUCUAUUUUCCAGCAUAAUAAUUUUUACAGAAGAUUGAUAAAAUAUAAUAGAUAAGAUGUUUCAAUUAGAGAAAGAUUAAUCAAAAUUGUCAAUAAUGCAAAUUUAGGAUACUCUUGAAAGCAUUUAUAUAUAUAUAUAUAUAUUUUAAAUAAAAUAAAUUAUGUGGAAGUACAAGCAUUUUUAAAACAGAAGAAAUAGGAUUUCAAUAUGAAGAGAAUGCUGCAUGAAGCUCAAAAUUUUUCGAAGGUGGACAGAAGGAGAAAGAAUAAAGAGGCCGAGAUAGUGGGCGACUUUAAUGAUUAGUCGAGGUCAUUUCAAUGAGUACCACUGUGUGUCAUCGCAUCAUUAUUGUGUAUACGAUAUAUAUAUAUAGAGAGAGAGAGAGAAUAUAUAUAUAUAUAUAUUCAAAUUAAUAAUUAUAAUAUAUAUAUAUAUAUAUACACAUACAUACAUAUAUAUAAAUAUAUAUAUUUUUUUUUACUAUCGAUAUUGCUUCGUAACAAUUUUAUUACUAUCAUUUUGAUUAGUAUAAUUGCGUCCGAUCCGUUUUUUUUUAUUUUUCUUUUUUUUUUUUUGAAUAAAUUGUAUAUCAAUAAUUUAUUAUAUGUUAAAUAUUAAUAAUUAAAAAAAAAGAAAAUUCAAUAAUAAAUCGAAUAAUUAUGUAGAGAAAAUAUUAAAAACAAAGAUGUUUAUUUAUAAAUUGUAUUUUAUAUUGUAUUUUGAAAAUUAUAAGCUAAUUCAAUUGACUUCUAUCUGUUUCAUAAAAUGAUUGUAAUAUGAAUGUGUCACGCAAUAUCUAUGGGCCACCGUAUUCUUCUGCUGAUUAUCUAAUCUCACGCUAAAUUAUAAAACAUGGGCACGUUAUAUUAAGAUCUUUGGUCUACUUGUUUAUUAAUCGAUGUAUUCAAUUCUCUUUUAAUUAUAUAAUUUUUAAAAUUUAAAUUAAGAUUUUCUUUAAAACAAUUUGAAAUUAGAAAAUAGAAUUAUUAAUGUUACAUGAUAAUUUAUAGGAAUAUGCACUGCAUCGAAGGAAUUCAAUAUGGCUAUCAAUAAAUUCAUAACAACGGAGGACCUGCGAUACAUCGGAAGUUAAUCCUGUCUUGUUCAUAAGUACUAGUGCCGCAGGAGUGACUAGGUUGGGUUAGAAAUUACCAUAUCUCCUGCUGCUCAAGUGCUUAUCAAUGGGUCCGGACUCACAUCUAUUUCUCAAAAUUAUGUAUUGAGACUUUUUUCUAAAGUAAAAUUUUGUCAUAAUAGCUAAAAGUUUAAGAUUGUAAUUUGCGUAUGCUAAUGUAGUAAUAUUGCAACAUCUAUAACAUAUUUAUAAUAAUUUUUUCUAUAGAAAUAUAUUAAAAGUAUAAAUACGUAAAAAAGAAAAAACACUAUAUAUAAUGUAUUCAAUACAUGAUAAAAUAUUGAUAUUGAAGAAUAAAAAAAAGUAUUUAUUGGAGGUACUGGGAUUUGAACCCAGGACUUUCAGCAUGCGAAGCAGACACUCUACCACUGAGUUACACCCCCAGUUGUAUAUUGUGUAUUUUACAUAAAUUAAAUGGUACAAUUUUAUUAUUUGAAUCAUAAAAAAAUUAUUUUGAUUCUAAUAUUUAUUAAAUUAUAUAUAAUCAUUUUUAUAUAAUUUUUAAUAUUUUAUUUUAUUAUUGUAAUUAAAUCUUUAUAUAUUUGAAUUUGAAAAUACAAUCUAAUAAAAAAUAA